AUAUUGCAGUACGUAAUAUUUGAAGAAUUUAGGAACUUACGGAUUGGGAAUCCGACGUAUGGAUCUUCCCGAAUUGGAUUUGUAAGUUCAUAAAAUAAAAUGUUAACCGCUAAUCAGUUUUGGAAAUUGGCGAAGAUCCAACCGUUGAAUCGUAAUAAAACUUAAGUAUGUUGUUCUAGAAGUAUAUUUUAUAUCAUGAGAAGUUACGGAUUGGAAAUUUGAGAUGCAGAUCUUCCGGAUCGAGUUUUGCAGGGUUGUUGACCCAACCAUCGAUCUUCGAUCGAUGGUUGACUUUUGGUCAAUGGGUCUCAAAUUAUUCUAGAAGGUCCUUAAGGAUAUGUUUUAUGUAAAUUAUAUAUUCUAUCAGUAAGAACUUGAGACAUGAUUUGAUAAUUGGUCACAGGCAACGAUAGUUCGUGAUGUCUCCAUAUUCGUGCGAGGGAGUUGUAGCGCAGACCUAAGGUGAGUAGGUUUUUUCCCUACUAUUAUAUAUAUA
rnacentral:lncRNA from 1 species